rnacentral:rRNA from 1 species
CAGUCGCCGCGGUAACACGUAGGUGGCAAGCGUUGUCCGGAAUUAUUGGGCGUAAAGGGCUCGCAGGCGGUUUCUUAAGUCUGAUGUGAAAGCCCCCGGCUCAACCGGGGAGGGUCAUUGGAAACUGGGAAACUUGAGUGCAGAAGAGGAGAGUGGAAUUCCACGUGUAGCAGUGAAAUGCGUAGAGAUGUGGAGGAACACCAGUGGCGAAGGCGACUCUCUGGUCUGUAACUGACGCUGAGGAGCGAAAGCGUGGGGAGCGAACAGGAUUAGAGACCCGCGUAGUCCCUGUCUCUUAUAC